rnacentral:rRNA from 1 species
UUUAGUGGCGGACGGGUGAGUAACACGUGAGCAACCUGCCUUCGAGAGGGGAAUAACGGCUGGAAACGGUCGCUAAUACCGCAUAACAUACCGGGAGGACAUCCUGCUGGUAUCAAAGAUUUAUCGCUCGAAGAUGGGCUCGCGUCCGAUUAGGUAGUUGGUGAGGUAACGGCUCACCAAGCCGACGAUCGGUAGCCGGACUGAGAGGUUGAACGGCCACAUUGGGACUGAGACACGGCCCAGACUCCUACGGGAGGCAGCAG